rnacentral:rRNA from 1 species
UAGCUCCUACGGGGGGCAGCAGUGAGGAAUAUUGGUCAAUGGGCGGGAGCCUGAACCAGCCAAGCCGCGUGAGGGAAGAAGGUACAGCGUAUCGUAAACCUCUUUUGUCAGGGAACAAAGGCGGGGACUAGUCCCCGGAUGAGGGUACCUGAAGAAAAAGCAUCGGCUAACUCCGUGCCAGCAGCCGCGGUAAUACGGAGGAUGCGAGCGUUAUCCGGAUUUAUUGGGUUUAAAGGGUGCGUAGGCGGAAGGUUAAGUCAGCGGUCAAAUGUCGGUGCUCAACACCGGCCUGCCGUUGAAACUGG